rnacentral:rRNA from 1 species
AUUGAACGCUGGCGGCAGGCCUAACACAUGCAAGUCGAACGGUAACAGGAAGAAGCUUGCUUCUUUGCUGACGAGUGGCGGACGGGUGAGUAAUGUCUGGGAAACUGCCUGAUGGAGGGGGAUAACUACUGGAAACGGUAGCUAAUACCGCAUAACGUCGCAAGACCAAAGAGGGGGACCUUCGGGCCUCUUGCCAUCGGAUGUGCCCAGAUGGGAUUAGCUAGUAAGUGGGGUAACGGCUCACCUAGGCGACGAUCCCUAGCUGGUCUGAGAGGAUGACCAGCCACACUGGAACUGAGACACGGUCCAGACUCCUACGGGAGGCAGCAGUGGGGAAUAUUGCACAAUGGGCGCAAGCCUGAUGCAGCCAUGCCGCGUGUAUGAAGAAGGCCUUCGGGUUGUAAAGUACUUUCAGCGGGGAGGAAGGGAGUAAAGUUAAUACCUUUGCUCAUUGACGUUACCCGCAGAAGAAGCACCGGCUAACUCCGUG